UACGUAGGUGGCAAGCGUUGUCCGGAAUUAUUGGGCGUAAAGCGCGCGCAGGCGGUCCUUUAAGUCUGAUGUGAAAGCCCACGGCUCAACCGUGGAGGGUCAUUGGAAACUGGGUGACUUGAGUGCAGAAGAGGAAAGCGGAAUUCCACGUGUAGCGGUGACAUUCGUAGAGAUGUGGAGGAACACCAGUGGCGAAGGCGGCUUUCUGGUUUGUAACUGACGCUGAGGCGCGAAAGCGUGGGGAGCAAACAGC
rnacentral:rRNA from 1 species